UGGUUCAGUGGUAGAGUAAUGGCCUACAAAUCCAAAGGUUGUGGGUUCGUUUCCCGC
rnacentral:tRNA from 1 species